ensembl:lncRNA
AUUUCAAAUUAGUUAAACAUUUGAAGUGUUUGGCUCUUCGGCUUGAGAUCCUCCUUAAAUCACAUUUAAUUUCCCAUCAUUUGAUAGCUUUGGUUUCAGCUUUUCUUGGGUGUAGGUCAGCGUUGUGUUCAGCCUGUCACGUCUGUUCUGGAUCACGGUGGACGUCCCCUCUGUGUCCGAGGCUGGACUUUUAGUGCUAGCAGCAGCAUGGGAUUGGAGCAGAACUAUAGAGUGAAGGGGAAGGACUAUCUCUACUGACCCACUGUGGAACGUUGUUGUUGUUGUUGUUGUUGUUGUUGUUGUUGUGAAUAUCGAUGGUUUCAAUGCCAGAAUUCAUGGUGGUGAUGGAGGGAGAUCCAUCCAAAUCUGAGUUCGGAGUACAGCAACACUACUUUACCGUGCCGCUUCACUUUCCGGAGUCCACAGCGUGUCUGUACUUAAGCCUAAUAGCCUUCAGUUUUGUUGAUGAUAUUACUUUUGUGAGAUCCUCACUGUGUGGGUAAGCCGCAUCAGCAGAAGGAUAGUGCUCCUGGAAUCGGUGCAAUAUUUCACCGAAUUUGUUUUGGCACGAUUCCCAGUCUACAUUUUCACCUGCCUUUGGAACUUUAUAGUCUUGGGUUACUUACAGCAACAACUCCUCCUCUUCAUCAGUCGACGCCCUGGUGUCGCAUCGAUUCAAAGAAACAGAAAACUGCACACUUCUGUUCCUCAGAGAUGGAGGAAAAUCAGGAAGCUGCUGAAACUCACCUGUUCUGGUAAGAGUCACUUUUAUUCCCUUACUUUCAUUAUGUUAAUGAUCGAAGGAGUUUAAAGGUAAACAGUUCACGUUUGUGUCUGUAAAUUUAGAUAUUUAGAUUUUAUUCACGUGCUUUAAAUGUCACAUGAUGCUAAAUUGUGGCAUGAAAUCAUGUUGUGCGUGUCUUAUUAUUUUUAUUUGUGUUAUUUUGAAUCCUCGAAUUUCUGCUCUCGGUUAAAUAAAACUUGCUCGCGAGAGACUCUAUGUUGCACACGUAUUGUCAACGUUUUUAUCUUUCUUAUCCAAAACCAGAGACUGAACCCCACUUAAAUAAAUCAUGCACAUUUUCUUUAGACAAGAAAACAAACAACGCACCAAGAACUUCUGUAGAACAUGACUGUUUCGAAAAACAAAGGGGUUAAGCUGUGGCCUUGGCAGACGUUUAUUAAUUCACUGAGAAAACAUGUUUGGAAAACGGACUUCCGGGUCAGAAUGUUUGUGUGUGAUCGGACACGCCUCUUGUCAGUCAUUUUAUAGACACCAUACAAUACAGGCCACUGUAGAUCCUGGUAGGCGGAGCUUUGUAAACAUGGGCGGGAUUCAUUCAAAUGUUAAAUCCACUUAACCAUUAGACCUAAUUCUGAAAAAGUG